UACGGAAGGUGCGAGCGUUAAUCGGAAUUACUGGGCGUAAAGCGCACGUAGGUGGUUUUAUAAGUCGGAUGUGAAAGCCCCGGGCUUAACCUGGGAAUUGCAUCUGAUACUGUCUGACUAGAGUAUGCUAGAGGGAAGUGGAAUUCCAGGUGUAGCGGUGAAAUGCGUAGAUAUCUGGAGGAACACCGGUGGCGAAGGCGGCAUCCUGGACCGGUAUUGACGCUGAGGCGCGAAAGCCAGGGGAGCAAACGGG
rnacentral:rRNA from 1 species